CUUGGCGACCAUAGCGUUUUGGACCCACCUGACUCCAUCCCGAACUCAGAAGUGAAACGAAACAGCGUCGAUGGUAGUGUGGGGUCUCCCCAUGUGAG
rnacentral:rRNA from 1 species